rnacentral:tRNA from 1 species
GGGUCGUUAGCUCAGAUGGUAGAGCAGCGGACUUUUAAUCCGUUGGUCGCAGGUUCGAUUCCUGCACGGCCUACCA